rnacentral:rRNA from 1 species
GGCUGAUUGUCCAGGCAAAUCCGGAUAAUCAAGGCUGAGGUGUGAUGACGAGGCACUACGGUGCUGAAGUAACAAAUGCCCUGCUUCCAGGAAAAGCCUCUAAGCAUCAGGUAACAUUAAAUCGUACCCCAAACCGACACAGGUGGUCAGGUAGAGAAUACCAAGGCGCUUGAGAGAACUCGGGUGAAGGAACUAGGCAAAAUGGUGCCGUAACUUCGGGAGAAGGCACGCUGGUGUGUAGGUGA